AUUGAACGCUGGCGGCAUGCCCUACACAUGCAAGUCGAACGGCAGCACGGGAGCAAUCCUGGUGGCGAGUGGCGAACGGGUGAGUAAUAUAUCGGAACGUGCCCAGUCGUGGGGGAUAACGCAGCGAAAGCUGUGCUAAUACCGCAUACGAUCUAAGGAUGAAAGCGGGGGAUCGCAAGACCUCGCGCGAUUGGAGCGGCCGAUAUCAGAUUAGCUAGUUGGUGGGGUAAAGGCCCACCAAGGCGACGAUCUGUAGCUGGUCUGAGAGGACGACCAGCCACACUGGAACUGAGACACGGUCCAGACUCCUACGGGAGGCAGCAGUGGGGAAUUUUGGACAAUGGGCGCAAGCCUGAUCCAGCAAUGCCGCGUGCAGGAUGAAGGCCUUCGGGUUGUAAACUGCUUUUGUACGGAACGAAACGGCCCUUUCUAAUACAGGGGGCAAAUGACGGUACCGUAAGAAUAAGCACCGGCUAACUACGUGCCAGCAGCCGCAGUAA
rnacentral:rRNA from 1 species